rnacentral:lncRNA from 1 species
ACAGCUCAAAGAGAAGCACAAGCAGAGCGGCGGGAGCGUGGGUGCGCUGGAGGAGCUGGAGAACGCCUUCAGCCUGGCCGAGGAGUCCUGCCCCGGCAUCUCAGACAAGCUGAUGGUGCACCUGGUGGAGCGAGUGCAGAGGUUUUCACACAACAGAAACCACCUGACAUCCACCCGCUGAAGCGCACUGCUGUUCAGAUAGGGGACGGAAGGUCGUUUGUUUUUGUUCUGAGCUCCAUAAGAACUGUGCUGACUUGGAAGGUGCCCUGUGCUAUGUCGUGCCUGCAGGGACACGUCGGAUCCCGUGGGCCUCACAUGCCAGGUCACCAGGUCACCGUCUCCUUCCACCCCUGCAGUGUGCUGUUGUGCACGUCAGGGACGCUGUUCUCUAUGCCCACUGCCCUCCUCCCUCUCCUGGCCCAGCAGUAUUGCUCACGGGGGCUCCAGCCGCCGGCGUGGCCCUCAUGAGCUACGCCUGGGUCUUCUGCAGACUCAUGCAGCCCUAUGGCCGCUCAGACCAAGGCGCAGAGCAACUAUCAGGGCAGCUCUGCCUCCUCCUCCCAUGAGGUGGGGAGAGGCAACAGGGCAGCCCCCAGAGGAGUGUCCUGGCCGCUGUCCUCCCGGGGCCCAUGAUGGCCAUAGAUUUGCCUUGUGGUGUUGGAUCAGGUACUGUGUCUGCUCAUAAGUACUUGUGUCAUCCAGAAUGUUUUGUUUUUUAAGAAAAUUGAAUUACUUGUUUCCUGAAAUAUUCUGAGGUUAAUAUGUUAGUUUUCAUAGAACAUUGAGAGGCCCCUGCC